GCUUGAAGUGACUGCAGGACCUUCUGCAAUGGAAAGUGAAGGAGAGACAACUUUCUCAGGGCCGACGAANCUCUGGAAUGUGUAGCAGGUCAAAGUCUAUCUUGGGGCUCUUGGGCUGCUCCAGAUAGGCCUUGUAGCAUUUUAGGGUUCUGUCCUAAGCCCAGCAUGUGAGGUGCAAUAAAUAGGACAGUGAAACUCUUAAUGAGGGUAAAGAAGGGCAGGGUGAAAAUAAGUAGCCAGGUUAAAACAGCACAUAUAUAACAUCAGGCAUAGGAAGAAACAAUCUGUUUUCAUCUAAAGCACCUGAGCUGUCUUAGGCACGCAGGUAUUCCCUUUGUGAANGGCUGGAUUGUCCAUUUUGUUUCCUUAUCCUAUUGGCUGUUUUGUUACAGUUUUAGGCCUUGUGUAAUUACUGGCUUUUUGAGCUGUGACCAGUUUGGUGGAGAGCAGUUUAAAAUUCGAAGACACAGACAUCCAUGGUCUUACUCAGGACUCUGCUACUGGAAUGGCAAUUACCGGGAAGGCUAUGGGGGGAAAAGUGGAAAGAAAGAGAAUAAAAUAAAAGAUGGGAAUUAG
rnacentral:lncRNA from 1 species